ensembl:lncRNA
CAAAGGAUGUUGAUUCCACCCCCAUGCUUCACAGUAGGUAUGGUGUUCUUUGGAUGCAACUCAGCAUUCUUUGUCCUCCAAACACGACGAGUUGAGUUUUUACCAAAAUGUUAUAUUUUGGUUUCAUCUGACCAUAUGACAUUCUCCCAAUCUUCUUCUGGAUCAUCCAAAUGCUCUCGAGCAUACUUCAGACGGGCCUGGACAUGUACUGGCUUAAGCAGGGGGACACGUCUGGCACUGCAGGAUUUGAGACCCUGGCGGCGUAGUGUGUUACUGAUGGUAGGCUUUGUUACUUUGGUCCCAGCUCUCUGCAGGUCAUUCACUAGGUCACCCCGUGUGGUUCUGGCAUUUUUGCUCACCGUUCUUGUGAUCAUUUUGACCCCACGGGGUGAGAUCUUGCGUGGAGCCCCAGAACGAGGGAGAUUGUCAGUGGUCUUGUAUGUCUUCCAUUUCCUAAUAAUUGCUCCCACAGUUGAUUUCUUCAAACCAAGCUGCUUACCUAUUGCAGAUUCAGUCUUCCCAGCCUGGUGCAGGUCUACAAUUUUGUUUCUGGUGUCCUUUGACAGCUCUUUGGUCUUGGUCAUAGUGGAGUUUGGAGUGUGACUGUUUGAGGUUGUGGACAGGUGUCUUUUAUACUGAUAACAAGUUCAAACAGGUGCCAUUAAUACAGGUAACGAGUGGACGACAGAGGAGCCUCUUAAAGAAGAAGUUACAGGUCUGUGAGAGCCAGAAAUCUUGCUUGUUUGUAGGUGACCAAAUACUUAUUUUCCACCAUAAUUUGCAAAUAAAUUCAUUAAAAAUCCUACAAUGUGAUUUUCUGGAUUUUUUUUCUCAUUUUGUCUGUCAUAGUUGAAGUGUACCUAUGAUGGAAAUUACAGGCCUCUCUCAUCUUUUUACGUGGGAGAACUUGCACAAUUGGUGGCUGACUAAAUACUGUUUUGUCCCACUGUACCUCUACUAACUUGACCAUGACAACAACUUUUACAAGAGGAACCAUAUGGAACCAUCUUCAUGAGCUUCCAGUUAAAUAGUCAAUGUCACGAGGAGCAAUGCUACCAUGGUGCUAUGUGUACGCUGUCCACUGGUGCAUUGAAUACAUUUUCCUUUUGUUUCUGAGGUUUGUGGAUUCAGCAUCCUAUAUGCAAGAAAUUUAUUUGAACAAAGUCGGUUAUCAUGAUCCCUUUACAAGCCAAGUUGUAAUCUUUCUCAACUCACAAGCUUCUCACACCGAUAUACUAAGUUAUCAUCGACAAUAUUCUGCUCACUGUAUAUUGCAUGGUAUAGAUAUCACAAACACUUUUGAUAAGUUGACUAAUGUUAAGGAAAUGUACGAAACUCUCAAUCUUCCAAUGGCCUGACGCGAUAACCAAUUCUGAUAGGAUGCCAAAAUCAUUCCCAACUCUGGUCAGAUGUGUUAAAAGGUUGGAUUAUGGGGUAGAUUACUGCCAAUAUUAAGAGAAUGCAGAAGUAAUAUUGCUGGCCUCCUUCUUAGUGUGUGACAAUGGGCAUGCUUUAUAUCAUUCCAUGUUUUGGGUGUUUGAUUAUAUUUAUGUUCAAAAGUGUAUAUAAUAUGAUAAUUUCUUGAAAAAUACAUUUUUAUUUUUUACCUUGCGAAAACAACCUGUAUAUUUUGUCUUUCCUCUUCUGUUGAACGAUGUUGGCCUGUUUUUUGUUUGUUUUUUUACGCAUGAGAAAAAUAGCGUUAACUUUGAGUGAUAGAUACCUACCUUUUUAAUGUUCUGACAAUGACAUGAUUGGUGGAUCAUUGGAACCCAUGUUUUGUGUUUGUAUUGGGCAAAUGAAACCUACAGUUGCAGGGCACUGAGAUAAAGUUAAAUAAUGGUCAUGUGGAAUGACUAUCUCCGGUUUCAUUUCUACACUGUUUGCCAGAUAUAACCAUCGCCCCUAGAAAGGACUACUUCUUGUUUUCAUCCUCUCCUUCUAAUCAGGGACUUUAUUCACCAGGUGAGUGCAAUAAAGUACCAGGUAGAAGAAAAGGUUUCGGCCCUCUAGGACUGGAACUGAACCAUCCUGGGCAACCUAGUAGGUCUGAAAGGUUCCUUAUCAGGGUGACUUGACUCAGAGACAUGUUUUUUUUAAAGUGUUUCCACAAUUAGGACAUUUUAUUUUGAAGAGGUAAAGUUACAGUACAGACGUGUACAAAAACGACAUGUUGUUGAGUACCAUACACAAGAUCAAAUGGUACAUUUCACACAGACACACACGUUUCCUCACAGCAGUAAGUCCAGUCUCUCCCUAGUUUAGGGACAGGCAGCUUCUCUAAAUAAUACAAGUUAUGUACAUAGGAAUAUGUUUAAUUGCAAUGCAUUGCAGUGUAGUACUGUGCUGAGACUAAUGGUCUCUUGGAGUUGCCCUUUUAAAUUCUGUUAUAUAUGCACUGAAAGCUGAAACUAUGAGACCUGAGAGAUAUCAAGUAGAAGGGAGGCCUCCCUUUCUCCCUGCCCCACUUUUUGAGUUCUCCUAGUGAGUUCGGAAAAACUGAAAGUAUACAUCUUAGAAAUAGUUUUCACAUACAAAAUGUGUCUGAACUCAAAAUCAACAUGCUUCCCAAAAAUAACAUGGUCACUUUGGUUAUUUUGAUUGGCUAUUUUUCUGCAUUUAUCAAAGUCCCAUCAAGUAGCCCGAUUUUAAGUGUCCAUGUAAACAGGAUUAUUAGGGAAAUCAUUCUUCUGGCAAAGCAUGUAAACGUAUUAAUCAAACUAUUAAUCUGAGCGCAUGUAAACGUACCAAGUGAGAGCAGAGAGAGUUCAUGGGAUUAUUUACAUCAAUGAAAAUCUGAAUACCGGAAUAAAGGAUUUGCGAGAAUGAAUGAACUAGGGAAAUAAUGUUGGGUUAGCUAAUAAACCAAAGAUACUGGGGAGUUGGCAAUAGUGUAUCUUGUUGACCAGAGAGUAUCCUACAACGCAAGCUGGAUCUACUGAGAGUUUUCUAAAGCUGCACAUUCAGUUAGCUUCACAUUCCAGCUCAGGCUUCAUCCAUACUACGAUGAUAGAUAUUGCUCGUCCGCCUCCCGCUAACUCUAGCAGGCUUGUAACUGCACGUGCAUGUAGCACAUGGCAAGACGAACGCCGAAUUCUUCGUUGAGACAAUGCUGAAACAUCAAUCCAUGGGAGAGUAAGUGCCACAUUUUCAUUUGGGUCGAAAUCAAAAGGAAAGAAAAGCUGUCUUGCAAAAUCAGAAGGCUAUGGUGACACAAAUACGCUUUUAGAAGUGCCGUCUUUUAUUUUAUUACUUGUCGGUAAUGAACAUCAACAUUGCGUGAAGUUGAAAAUGCAUUAUGUCAUUACUAAAUGUUCAAUAUGAUAUAUUUUAACAUUUUUUAAAAAUGUACACAUUUGAUUAAUAAAAUAUGAAAUUAGCAGUCUUCCUCAAACGAAGGGGAUGAUGGCACAAACGUUGCAAGAGGGAGGAAAUCUGAUUUGAUAGAUACAAACAGCGAGGCCUGGCAUGGUUUAAUUCAGGAUUGGUGGGUCCCCCACGGGACGGUUGAGCUAACGUAGGCUAAUGUGAUUAGCAUGAGGUUGUAAGUAACAAGAACAUUUUCCCAGGACAUAGACAUAUCUGAUAUUAGCAGAAAGCUUAAAUUCUUGUUAAUCUAACUGCACUGUCCAAUUUACAGUAGCUAUUACAUUGUUUGAGGAGAGUGCACAGUUAUGAACUUAAAGUUAUUACUAAAUCAAUUAGGCACAUUUGGGCAGUACAAACAUUUUUACAGAAAUACAAUGGUUCAUUGGAUCAGCCUAAAACAUUGCACAUACACUGCUGCCAUCUAGUGGCCAACAUCUAAAUUGCACCCGGGCUGGAAUAAUACAUUAUGUCAUUUCUGUUGCAUUUCAAAGAUGAUGGUACAAAAAAGUUAAAACAAAUAUUUGUAUUUUCUUUUACCAGAUCUAUUGUGUUAUAUUCUCCUACAUUAAUUUCACAUUUCCACAAACUUCAAAGUGUUUCCUUUUCAAAUGGUAUCAAGAAUAUGCAUAUCCUUCCUUCAAUACGUGAGCUACAGGCUGUUAGAUUUGGGUAUGUCAUUUUGGGCGAAAAUUGAAAAAAAGGGUCAGAUCCUUAAGAUGUUUUUAACGUAAUCAAGCUCCCGAGGAUGGGACAGCCAUAGGGUACUCCCGCUACUCCCCUGUAAUUAGCAUAACUUUGGCAUCAUCCUAAGCAAACUACUGACAAUUUUUUGUAGUUUCAAUAAACGUUUUCA